rnacentral:rRNA from 1 species
GACGAACGCUGGCGGCGUGCCUAAUACAUGCAAGUAGAACGCUGAAGGAGGAGCUUGCUUCUCUGGAUGAGUUGCGAACGGGUGAGUAACGCGUAGGUAACCUGCCUGGUAGCGGGGGAUAACUAUUGGAAACGAUAGCUAAUACCGCAUAAGAGUAGAUGUUGCAUGACAUUUGCUUAAAAGUUGCAAUUGCAUCACUACCAGAUGGACCUGCGGUGUAUUAGCUAGUUGGUGGGGUAACGGCUCACCAAGGCGACGAUACAUAGCCGAACUGGGAAGGUGAUCGGCCACACUGGGAAUGAGAACAGGCCCAGAAUCCCACGGGAGGCAGCAGUAGGGAAUCUUCGGAAAAGGACGGAAGGCUGACCGGGCAACGCCGCGUGAGGGAAGAAGGGUUUCGGAUCGUAAAGAUCUGUUGUAAGAGAAGAACGGGGGUGAGGGUGGAAAGUUCACACUGUGACGGUAUCUAACCAGAAAGGGACGGCUAACUACGUG